rnacentral:tRNA from 1 species
UAUUUAAUUUUCAUAUUAUAAAAAAAUUAAUUUUUUAUAAAAUCAAAAUAUUUAAUAAAAAUGAUUUAUUUAUUGAAUUUUUGAGGUUAAUUGCGACUUUGAGGUUUUAGGAUUUGUUAUUUAAAAAUAUUUUAAACUUUUGAUUUUAAUUUUUAAUAUUAUAAUGAUUUUAGAUAUAAAAUUGAAUUUUAAAUUUAAAAUAUUUUUAAAUAA